rnacentral:rRNA from 1 species
UACGUAGGGGGCGAGCGUUGUCCGGAUUUAUUGGGCGUAAAGAGCGUGUAGGCGGCCAGGUAGGUCUGCUGUGAAAACUCGAGGCUCAACCUCGAGACGUCGGCGGAAACCACCUGGCUAGAGUCCGGAAGAGGAGAGUGGAAUUCCUGGUGUAGCGGUGAAAUGCGCAGAUAUCAGGAAGAACACCCGUGGCGAAGGCGGCUCUCUGGGACGGUACUGACGCUGAGACGCGAAAGCGUGGGGAGCGAACAGG